GAACAGUUCAUCAAAGUACAGUUUAAAUCAAUUAAAGUACUCCAACACCCCUUUGCUACAUGAAACAUGGUAUCUCCCGGAACCUUUAAAAUGGGGCUCGAUAGACUGGGGACUCUUUUAGCCAGAACACUCUAGAAAGGAGACACAACAGAGGUGAGUUACUUGAACACACACUUUACUAUUGUACAAACAGUAACCGUUAAGCUGCAUCCAGUUAAUCAGGCCCAGAUACUACCAUACUGCACAUGUGGAGGUAACCAAACUAGCACUCUGGGUCCAUGUGUUUCUCUUGACAGGGCUGGCCUCCGAUCAACACCAGCUGCAACUUUCACAAAACUGAUGAAUAUAUUCCAAUAAACAUUCAGAACUGUUGUGCGUCAUUUUAUUUACCCAUAACAUAAUGAGCUAUAAUGUACUAAUGCUGCAAAAUAUUAGUGAUGAAGAAGACCUUCAUUACAC